UGACGCUAAAGCUCGAAGGUGCGGGUAUCGAACAGGAUUAGAUACCCUGGUAGUCCGCACGGUAAACGAUGGAUGCCCGCUGUUUGCGAUAUACAGUAAGCGGCCAAGAGAAAUCGUUAAGCAUCCCACCUGGGGAGUACGCCGGCAACGGUGAAACUCAAAGGAAUUGACGGGGGCCCGCACAAGCGGAGGAACAUGUGGUUUAAUUCGAUGAUACGCGAGGAACCUUACCCGGGCUUGAACUGCAGCGGAAGGAAACAGAGAUGUUGACGCCCUUCGGGGCCGCUGUGGAGGUGCUGCAUGGUUGUCGUCAGCUCGUGCCGUGAGGUGUCGGCUUAAGUGCCAUAACGAGCGCAACCCUUUUCGCCAGUUGCCAUCAGGUGAUGCUGGGCACUCUGGGGACACUGCCACCGUAAGGUGUGAGGAAGGUGGGGAUGACGUCAAAUCAGCACGGCCCUUACGUCCGGGGCUACACACGUGUUACAAUGGGUGGUACAGAGAGCCGGCGGCCCGCAAGGUCCGUCCAAUCAAUAAAGCCAUCCUCAGUUCGGAUUGGGGUCUGCAACCCGACCCCAUGAAGCUGGAUUCGCUAGUAAUCGC
rnacentral:rRNA from 1 species